UCUAUUUGUCAUCACUAACCCAUCAUCACUAUUGAAUAAAUUCAUAAAUUAUGAAAAUUACCAUGCUAGAACUAGUAACAAGAAAAUGAAUUUCUCCAAAGCGUAAGCAUAAGCCAAGACGGACAACCCUUUGGGAAUUAACGGGCUUGGACCUAUUAUUGUUAAAUUUAUCUAGAAAACCCUAUAUCUAACACCGUUAACCUUACACAAGAACUCUCCUGGAAAGAUUAAAAGGAAGAGAAGGAACUCGGCAAAUCAUAACCCCGCCUGUUUACCAAAAACAUCGCCUCUUGCUGGAUAUAAGAGGUCUAGCCUGCCCAGUGUUUUAAUCAACGGCCGCGUGAUUUAAGCGCGCGAAGGUAGCGUAAUAAUUUGUUCUUUAAAUGAGGACUUGUAUCAAUGGCAUCACGAGGGUUAUACUGUCUCCUCUCCCCAAUCAGUGAAACUAAUCUCCCUGUGAAAAAGCAGGAAUAAACCAAUAAGACGAGAAGACCCCAUGGAGCUUAAAACACAGCAACAACCCUAAUUAGUUAAUCUAUAUAUUUUAAGCCCUGUAUGCUAGUUUUAGGUUGGGGUGACCGCGGAGCAAAACAAAGCCUCCAUAACGAAAGGGCCUACACCCUUAUCCCAGAGACACACCUCUAGAUUAUAUAAUAACGUAUAAUGAUCCGACUAUCGACCACGGACCAAGUUACCUGGGGAUA
rnacentral:rRNA from 1 species